CUUGUACACACCGCCCGUCACACCAUGGGAGUGGGUUGCAAAAGAAGUAGGUAGCUUAACCUUCGGGAGGGCGCUUACCACUUUGUGAUUCAUGACUGGGGUGAAGUCGUAACAAGGUAACCGUAGGGGAACCUGCGGUUGGAUCACCUCCUUACCUUAAAGAAGC
rnacentral:rRNA from 7 species